ACGACUGUUGCUCAAACCCCAUCACCAGCACCUUCAGGUCCAACCAACAUCACCGCAAUCCUCGAGAAGGCUGGUCAGUUCACAACCUUGAUUCGGUUAAUGAAAAGCACCCAAGAGGCUGACCAAAUCAACACACAACUAAACAACUCAAACCAAGGCCUAACAGUAUUUGCACCACCUGACAACGCCUUUACUAACCUCAAAGCAGGCACGCUGAAUUCACUCAGCGAUCAACAAAAGGUCCAACUGGUGCAAUUCCACAUCAUUCCAAAUUUCUUUUCCAUGUCAAGCUUCCAAACUGUGAGUAAUCCCUUGCGUACUCAGGCCGGUAACAGUGCCGACGGCGAGUUCCCGCUAAAUGUGACAACAUCAGGGAAUCAAGUGAACAUAACAACAGGGGUUAAUACUGCAACAGUGGCUAACACUAUAUUCACUGAUGGCCAGUUAGUUGUGUAUCAGGUGGAUCAGGUCCUUCUGCCAUUAGAUCUCUUUGGUACAGCGGCAGCACCAGCACCUGCACCUUCAAAGCCUGAUAAAGAUGUUCCAGCCAAAGCUCCUGCAGGGUCAAAGGAAGAUGCCUCUGUUGAUGCUUCAGGUGCAACCAUUGCAACUGUAUCUGUCAGUGUCGUGCUGAUCGCAGCAAUUUCAUUGAAGCUAUGAGUUUUUGUUUUCGGAAAUUGAUAAGGAGUUCUUGUUUUAUUGAUCUGUUGUGAUUUGAACUGAGGUGGAUUAUUCUUUGGUUACUCUCCCUCUCCUCUUUUAUGUAAUGUACCAUGAUUGGCUGAGAUCUUCCUCUCCACUCAAUUUUGUGAUCUUAUGUUCAAAUUUAAAGUUAAUUGCAAUAAAAUUCCGAUCCUGUAGAUUGAAAUUUUGGAUUGAAAUCUAAUCAAUACAAUCACCAAUUAUAGAGAAUCGGAUGCAAAACGAUAAUAUAAUAAUGGAGGAUGCAACAGAAAGAUGAAUCGGAGCUCAAUAAUUUCAUUGAAUCAACCAAUUCAAGUUAUUGAACUGGGAAGAUUUUGGAAGCAAAACUUUAUCGAGGAAUAAACUGAUCCCGUGACAAACCCUCUUUUAAUUGGCCAUGAUGUGCCUGUUAGUAUCAUUAUUCAAAUUGGUGUAAGGACUAUGUUACAAUAAAAGCAAAGAGAAGAGCAGACUACAAGGAUUGAUCAAUUAUCUGAGUAGAUGGAGUCAGUGCUAGCUACUCUCUAGUCUUUUGCAACUAAUAAGGAAAAUAAAGGGACACGAGGGAAAACUACUGUCCUGAUGGGAUUCAUUUACCACAAAUAAACUACAAUCGUGGAGAGAUAAUGAGUAGCAAUAAAGUUUCAAGUGACGAUACAAUAUAGCUUUACCAAGAAUGAACUACCAAUAUUUGACGGUGAGAAUCCAAAGGUGUGGAUGAGGAAAUGUAGGAAAUUCUUCGAGAGAUGCAUUAGACUCUCUUACAUUAAUAGAUUCAUUAUUAGAAAAUUGAUAAAUAUAAAUGGAAAUAUCGAGAGGAUAUUUUCAUUGGUAAAUUUCCGAUGAAUUUUACAGACGGAAAUAUUCCCUCGGUAUAUACCGAGGGAAUUACAUUGGAAAAAAAAUAUAAUUAAAACAAAGCAAAAAAAAUAAUGAUGUGUCAUUUAUACAAACAGAUACCAACGAAAUAAAUUUCAUCGGUAAAAUCGUUGGUAAACUGUGAACAAUGUUCAUCAUGUCAAUUACAAAGGGAAUCACUAAAGGAAAAUUCCGUCGGUAUUUUCCAGAGAGCUCUGGAACUGUUCACUUCCCAAUUGCACUGUUAAUUACUGUUUUUUAUAGACAAAAUCACCGAUGGAUUGAAAAGUCGUCGGUGUUAUUUGACGGUUUUUUGAAAAUUUUUGAUUAAAUUAAAAUUUUAAAUUAAUAUUACAGAUGGAAUCACCGACGGAUUGAAAAGUCGUCGGUGAUAUUUGGCGGUUUCUGAAAAUUUUUGAUUAAAUUGAAAAUUUAAAUUAAAUAUUACAGACGGAAUCACCGAUGAAAAAUAUUAAUAUUUAAUUAUCCAUCGGUAAAACCGUCGGUAAAACACCCCAAUAAGAAACAUAUAAUCCCUAAUUUCACAACAGACGGGGCUCCUUUGUUGUUGUUCUUCUUCUCCAUAUGUAAAAAACAUCAAUAUCCAUUUCUUUCUCUUUUCUCUCCUCAACUCCUUCUCUUUUCCUCCAUGCUCAGGUAUGUAUUCUUCUUUUUUUUUUCUUUUUUCUUCUCAGUUUUUUUUAAUUAAUAUACUUUAUGAAUUUAUUUUUCUCUUUUUAGCUUCACUUGCAACCACAUUAAGGUAAGAUUUUUCUUUUUUCUUUUUUUUUUUGUGUUUUUUUUCACUAUAUUUGUUAUUUUAUUUUAUUUUUUAUUGUUUUUUUUCUUAAUAAUUGUAUCAAUAUUGUUGUAGGAUUUUUUUUUCAUGUGAUUUUUUUCUUCUUUUUUACAAGCGUUUUGAGUAUUAUAGAGUGAUGAUUUAUAUUAAUUUUAUUAUUUUAUAGUUUUGUAAAAUGGAUUUUUUAAAAAUAUUUUUAAAUAAUUACUGAUGGAAUUACAUACGGUAUUUUUCUGAGGGAUAUACCAACAGAAUAAAGCGGAUAAUUUUUUUUUUGCGCUUUUUUCGUCAGUAAAUCCAUCGGUAAUAAUAUUUUUUUAUUACCAACAGACAAAAAUUACCGACAAAAGAUUCACUGACGAAGUAUUUUCGUCAGUGAUUUCGUUGGUAAAUUAAUUACCAACAGAAUGAUAGUACAAAUACCGACCAAAAAUUCUGUCGAUAAAUAUAAAGAUUGUGGUAGUGAUUGCUUUAACUUAUUUGGAAGGAAGAACCGUGACAUGGUUUGAAGGGCUUUUGUUGGGAAACAAUGACCUAACCAAUUAGGAAGAAUUUUCGAAGGCUAUUUAUGUAAGAUUUGGCACUUGCAGUGAUGUAGUAGAGGAGUUUAACAAAAUAGAUCAAGAGAGAAAGGAGUUGAUGAAUACAUUGAGAGAUUUAAGGAGUUGAAGUCUUUAAAUGAAUGCUCUCAACCCCAUGUUUCUAAAGACAUAUUAUGUAUCUAGCUUUAUUAGUGGAUUAAAGGAACUCAUUAAACCAAUGUUGAAGAUUCUUAAGUCCAUCAUUUUGUAAGCUUUUGAACAAGCUAAAUGGCAGGAAAAAUCUACUGCUGCAUUGGCAAGGGGGAGCAUAAUGGUUUCAAAGAUCAAUUCCUAAUUCAAGAUUUAGAAACCAAUAAAUAUUUCCAAACAAUCAUCUCAUAAUCCUUACGAGCAAAGAAUAAAACUUAGAUUAUGCUUUAAAUAUGAAGAUAAGUUUUCCUUUGAAUACAAAUGUAGUGUUAAGGUUCAUAAAAAAAAGAUAAAAGUUCUUUCAUUUAUUUAAAAAAUAUUUUUUCAAAUUUUCUCUUAUAUUUAUCUCUCCUCCUAUCUUAUUAUAGUUUAAAAUAUAUAGGUUCUAACAUCAUUAUAAAAGACUAUAAAAUGACACUGAAAGAGGUCGCAUGCGCCACCAAAACAACGACCCAUAAAGCAAAUAAAAAAUAUAUCAUGAAGUGAACAUCUCAUGAUUAUAUUUAAUCAAUUAAUUUAAUCUAAAAACAAAAUUUCUUUUUAAAAAAGCUAAAUUUAAUAAAGAACGACAAAUAAAAAAACCCAAGAUAACUCAGGUCAUCUUUAAAAUUAGUGAAAAAUCAUAUAGAAAACUACUAAAAAAAUUAAUGUAACCCAAUCUCCAAUUAAAUAAAUGCUGAAAGAUAAAACUAAAAAACACAUGAGCUUAAAAGAAAGAGAAAAAAACCAAGCAAACCCGAGCAAAUCUUCAAAACCUGAAUUAAUCUUCCAAACUUGCAACUUGUCAAAUCAUAUACCUAGGCUCAAUUCCCAACCAAUGAAAUAAAAAAAAUAUCAUUUUAAUUUUUUUUACAAAGUAAAUAAAAUAGCAACAAAAAGAAUGAGAAUCAAAUUUGAUAGAUGAAAAAAUUAAAUGAGGAUGAAAUUAAAAAAUAAUAAUUUUAUAAACUAUUUCAAAUAAAACAAAUAGUAAUAAAAAAAAUAAGGACUAAAUCUGAAAAAAUAAUUAAAGGGCUACUUUGAAAAUUUGAAAGGUUAGACAUGAAAAUCAAGGAAGAGAGAGAGAAAAAAAUAUCAUUAAUGCUAAAUUGAAGGUCCGUAAGCCACACACUCCAUCUAAGGAUGGAGGGCCGCCGAAACGAUUCGAUCACCACCUUAAAAGCCAUUGUUUGGCCACCGAAUGCCCCAUCAAGUUCCACUUAAAAAACAUGUAUACAUCCCAUAUGCUUGUGCUUGCAAUGCACGUGCUGGCUAGUUUUCUUUAAUAAUAUUUUAUAAUUAUUAAAAUAUUAAAUUUUCUCUUAGUCAACUUAAUUAUAAAAAAAACAAGAAUAAAAGUAAAAAUAAAAACUCUCGAUGCCAAUAAAGAAAUUUAUUUAGAGUAAUUUAGCUAUUUUACUAUGCUUUAAAAAAUAAAAAUUUUAAAAAGUUCAUAAAAGCUAGCUAAAUAAAAUUUUCUUUUAAGAGUAAUUUAAUCAUUAUACAUCAACCCCAAUCUCCAUUCAUUUCUCCUUUAUUUUUCAAACCCAAGCACGGUAGCUCCCUCCACAACUGCCAACCAUACAAACAAAGUAAACAAACAAAAAUCCAUCUUCAUCUUCUCUAUUGUUACAGGAGACACAAUGCGCAUCCACCUUCAAUAACUGCUCUAUCAAAUAUUUUUCAGCCAGUCCAAUAAUUUGUUUUAAGAAGGGGAAAAUGUCAUUAAUUACCCUAUUCCAAUCCAUAAGUUUGGGUACACAGGGAUCCCUUUAGUUUCUUUUUUAAUACUAUAAAAUUUCUGGAUUCCUUCUUAGACAAGUUCAGUCUCCAUUCAUUUAGCCAGGGAAACAUCGUAUCCUUCUCCACUCUUCUUGCUUCCCCUUCUAACAAAGACAUUACAAAUUGUACUUGGAUUUAACCCAGAGUUUUCUCAGGUUAAAUCAUAUUUUGGAUUUAUUAAAAAAUGAUUCAAAUUAAUUGGUCAAAUAAGUAAAAAUAUUUUUUUAACGUAACAAAAAAUAUCAUGGUCAUAAAUAACUAUUUGACAUUGUUAUUAAACAUGGUCUAGUUGGUCAACCUUGAAACCUUUCAAUAUGACUAUUUAUCAGCUGGGUUUUAAAAUUAAAUUAUGUGAGAGUUAGCUCGAUGUGACCCGGUCGACUUGGUCAAUUCAAAAGCAACAUAGUCAGCAAAUAAAAAAAAAUCUGAUGAUGAAAUUGAUAGAAAAAACCUUCCGACCCAGCUUCUUAUCUAAUUCAAGUUUAAAAUUAAACCAUGUGAAAGUUGUCUCGACAUGACUCAAUUGACUUGGUCAGUUCAAAGAAAGCUCAACUGAUCAAUAAAAUAUUUUUAGGAUGAAAUUGAGAAAAAAAAUGUAGUUAACAUAAAAAAAUCUCUCAACCAAACUCGAUUAUGUGAUUGUCUAUUUUUAUUUUUAUCUUUUAGUUAAAAAAAUAGUUUUGAAAAAAAAACAUGUUAUUAAAUUUUAGAAAGUUCAUGGAUAUGUUGACGGUACGACAAGUUAACUUUUUUUUUAAUUUUUUUUUAUUAUUCAAUAUUAAACUGAUAAAUUGAAUCUUUUGGUCUUAUUUAAAUACAUUCAUGGUGGUAUUUAUAGAUAAUAUUUUAGCUUGUAUAUGAAAUAUAAAUAACAUCUGAAGCAUGUAUUGAAAAUCUUGAGGAAUCAUUAAAUAUAUGCCAAGCUGGGAAAACGUGAGUUGUGCCAAAUAAAUAAUAAGAAAGGUUGAGUUAGGCUGACAGGGGAAAGAGUUUGGUUAGGCUGGCCUACUUUCCUUUUUCUUUUCCCUUUCCUCUCCAUCUAGCCUCGGUUGGCCUAGUGGGGUAUGAUGGGCUAGUUUCCAGUUCACCUCCUCUUCUCCCUUUUCUCUUCUUUCUCCUUUUUUAUUCUCUCCCUUUAUCCUCCUUUCUUCUUUCUUUUCUCUUGGUUGGGCCACGAACCUCUAAGUUGGUUGGACCUGCAGCUAGCCAGGCUUGGUUAGGUCUGGUUGGGCCUAUUGUCAGGUUGCUUUUUUUUUUUGCCCUACUGAUGGCACAGAACAAUUAACUAGCUAUAGGUUUAACGUACUAUUGACCAUUGAUCUUUGAUGGCACUUGUCGCUGUCAUCUUAUUGUAGAUUAACAAAUUUCAUGAGGGUUCCAUUUGAAGACGAGUUAAUGAGUUGAUUGAUCUCUCUUGUUGGUAUUACUAUUAGUUUUCUUGUGAGGCUAAGAACAAGAAAUCUUACUAUAAGGGUUUGAUUUUUCGUUCUUUUUUUUAAAUAACAAUUCAACGCCAGGAUCAAAAUUUAGUUGUCCAAAACCAGUUCGAUGUUAGUGCAACAUCCCAUAAAGACUGAGAGAUUGUCAUUUUGAAACAGUUUUCAAACUCCAAAGAUAUAGCUCUGCCCAGGUCUCGAAAACAUGGUCGUGACAAGUACCAAUAAAAAGGUGAUACUCAUUACUAUAAAGUACUUUCUCUUAUUCAAACCUCUAAAAAAUACACACCCUUUCUGGUUAUAAAUAAUUUAUAGUAAAUGGGAAAUAUUGGUAAAGGUUACUCUAACUAUACAUACUUCGAUUCUUUCUAAGAAUGCCCGUUUCAUCUCCUUGCCAAAAUGUCUGUCAUAAAAAGGCAUUAAUGGAAAGUCAAAUAUGUGUUGCUGCUCAUAGCGACCCUCCAACGGUUUGUUAGGGUUAACAGUGCACCAUAAACAAUAGGAGGAGUUCACAUACAAUACUGGUCCCCUUAAAAACUGUCUGAAAGAGACCUAUGUCGCUAGCUUUCUAGCUAGCUUGUUAGGGCAAAAAAAAAAAAAAAAACAUCUUUCUAGGAUUAUUAGGCAAAACCUAAAGGGGACAAUGAAAGUGUUUGAGACAUGGAAAAUGGAAAGGCGACCUCACAGACGCAGUUUUCAACGAAGUUAAAAUUGAACCACAAAUAUUGUGUAAUUAAAAUGGCUUUCUAACUGGAUUAUGGAUGAGCUUAUCUUCCUUUAUAGCAUAGAUUUGCUUGCAACUUGUUAAUUAGUGGUAUAAUUAACCCAGCCUUGCCAGUGUGCAAGAAUCCCCCACUUCCCAUGCAUCUUUGAAAGCCAUCAGUCUGACCUUCAAAUUCAAGCAGUAAUUUGUUGAGGCGGCUUUGGAACCAUGUCCUGGUUUGGGUGAUUGGGACUUUUUUUUUGAAAAAAAUAGAUUUUUUUUUAAUUAUCCCAAAACCUGUUUGAACGAGUACAUAUAUAAUAUUAUCUCUGUCCUAAACGAGCAGUUUUUUAAUUUUGUUUUUAUCUCUAAGGGAAACGCAACAGUAUUCUACCAAACUUUCAUGGAAUUCCUUGGGUUGGAUCGGACGACCGAAUUGUUAGAUAGAAUAUACGAAUUUUUAUUCUCAUGUAUGUAUAGGAAUUAGGAAGUUGAUCAUGCAUGAGUUAUAUUUUAUUCUUAUAGGAAUUUUCAUUCAUGGAUAUACCUGAGUUAAUUAUUAUUUUUAAUCCAAACAUGCUUGAGAUAAUUAUUAUUUCAUUAUUUGCCUUGCUUUAAUUAGUAAGUUAUGAUAUGAAUUAGAAGGAAACUACCAUACGAGUAUCAUAUAGAUCACUUGCUUCAUAGAAAUCCAUGUCUACUUUCCGAGAUUUUUUAGGGUGAUAAUAUAGGUUUUGUACUUGACAUUUUGACGUAUAACACUUGAUUAACUCUCAUUGCCAAUAAUGACUUGCCAUGGGGAAAAAACCAUUAAUUCCAUUUUAGUCAAUCAGGAAUUUUCACAAUCCCAUCAUACUGCCUUCGACAAAUCAUACUUCUUCUUCUUCUUCUUGACCCCUAAAUUUCUUCCUAGUCUUCCUUCGGCCAUAAUCAACACUAGAAAAAAUCAAAAGGGUUUCGCCAUACGCAGUACUACCUAGAUUCUCCCUAGUUAAAAGAGACCCUAGAAUACACGUGUACACAGCUUGAUCUUAGCCAAAAAGAGAGAGAGAGAGAGGGAGAGACGUGUAAAGCCUAAUCUCCCCAAGACUUCGAUUAUUAUAAUAUAUAUUAAACAAAUGGAACACCAACUUAUUAGUUGGUGCACAUUGUUUUCGAUCUUAAACUAUAGCAAAGACUUGGUUUUUCCUUCUUCCAAAAACCCACCAACGUUGACGAGGUACCCGGAUUUCGUUGACGAUCAGUCAGCGAUAUGUCGUUGUUUUCCGUGCCUUUCAAUUUCAAUAAAGAAAGAAAAAAUGAUCCAAGUAGGAGUAUACGAUAAGAGCGUUAAGACAGAAAAUAAAACAACAAGAAAAUAAAAACAACAAGAAAAACAACGAGAACAUGCAUGACUUGGAGUUUGUUCAUUGUUCAGUCUUUUUCUGACAUGUUUCAUGCACUGGGCCACCACCAGUAAUCACGAGCUGCCCUUCCCUUCACCACCAUUUCUACCGAGCCCAACUCUGCUGUUUUAGCCGGGAUUUUAAAACAGGCCUUAUGCAAUUCACGUAGCGUGCAAGAUCAUCAAGGAUUGACAGUGAAAUGGUUCAAGCUCAUGGCUGAACUUAUUGAAGCAAACUUCGCUAGGUCUUGUGGUAAAAAUGGACGACUGGAUUCACUACUCAUACCCAGAAAAUCUCUUGUUAAACCACUCUCGAUAGAAUUUGAACCUCUUUGAUGCUUCAACUGAGUCUGGUCAUUUUGUAGUUUUCCACUUGUUUGCAUCAUAAGUUGAUCAAGGUUGCUUGAUGUACCCAUCAUUGCAUCACUCAUUGCUACAGUACUAUUUGUUGUUGUUAGGCUCUCGGCUGCAGUUUGCUUAACAUUUUGAAAGACUUGGUGUAGCUCGUUUGGAUUCUGGUUGAGAGAGAUGGGGUUUGUUGUAGGAGAAGAAGAAGAACAGUUCAUUAGUCCAUAAUUGUUGCCAAAGAAAGAUUGGUUGCUUCUUGUAGAACCCAUUUGAGCUGCCUUUUGCAGAAGUGCAGUGGCAGACAUAUUGGGCACUGCAGCUGGCUUUGAUUGCUUGUUCUGAAUACUAUCAGAAUACAAAGAAGCUGAUGUAUUCACCAUAUUGGCUUUACUACUACCUUCUUCCUUUAGCCCAUGAGGGAGUCCAGAUAAGGUUAAAUUCCCAAAAUUGGCGGUGGACGAUGAACCAUAGAGAUUGGCUGAUCCCAUUUGCACCAUUUCAGGCAAACCACUAGAACUCGAAGGCACGUAAAGAUUUAAAUUGGGACUAAUAGGUGAAGUGGCUUGAUUUAGCCACAGAGAAAGUCCAGGCUUUUGUUGAUCAGCACCAAGAGAAUUUCCUGGAGUCAUGCCACUGAAAUCAGGUCCAAAACCUGAAUUGAAUUGUGGAAUGCCUGCGAUAUCUGGAACUCCCGGCCGGUCAGGAAAUCCAUGAGGCAAAUCUACUGUAUCAUUUCUGAAAUUUAGAUUGGCUGCAGCUGGAACGGAAGUGAUUCUUGCACUUUCUUCAGCUAAGGCAUCGCAAAAGGCUCUGUGUGUGAUAAAGCUAUCUUUCCUGUUUUGGUAUAUAUUAGAAACCCCAAUUCAAAAUUUGAUCUAUCAGCACUUAUUAUGAUUACCUAGCAAGUAUAAUCAUAAAUGAAGUAUCAUUUAAUUCAAAAGAAAAAUCAAAGGGAUAACAUUUAUUUCAUCUGCUACGUAAUCAAUGACAGAAAAUCAAUAACCAAGUGUGUGUAGUAACAGUGUUAGUACCUGGAAAAUAAAGUCCCACAGUCACAUUUAUACUCUCUAGUCCCGCAAGUCUUGGAGUGAGCUUUCCAGUCUGAUUGAACUGCAUACUUCUUUGAACAUUUCUCACACUUCCACUUCUUCUCCCCAUGUUUUCUGCUAAAGUGCUUCUUUAUGCCAGUUAAGUCUCCGAGAGCUCUAGAUGGAUCGUGGUGAACGCAGGUCUUUUCUGGGCAAAUAUAGACCUUCUUUCGUACCUCUUUGUUGGUUCUUUGCUUUAGCUUCCAUGGAAGAUUGUGACCUCUUCGAUGAAGUUGCAAGUUUUGGUCUCUUUGAAAUCCUUUGUUGCAUAUUUCACAUAUAAACCGGUUUGUAGCCAUGAGAGACUUCGGAGAUAAAGCAAUAACCUCAGCAUCUGGAUCUGUGAAGACGACAUAGAAACAGUUUAUUUGACUACUAUUCAAUUUAAAGUAAGUUUUGUACAUACGCGAUAACUAACUAAGAGAUGAGGUACCAAGAAAAAUAAGAAAUUAAGCAUGCUACUUACCUGGUGUUCCUGGUAAAUUUCUUUUCCUCUUGGCCGCUUGAUUAGGAUUAGUUUUAGGGCUAGGGUUAGGGUUUGCAUUAUUCUGGUCUUGAGCAAACCCUGCUAUUGAAGAUGGUAGUGAGAAAGCAUCACCAGACAUCAUUUCUACUUAAAUUGAACCAAACACAACAACGCAACAAAGCUUUCGAAAAAGGAUAAAAACCGUAAGAAAACAAAAGAAAGCAAGAGUUUCUCCCAACACAAACAGCUAAGUGUUUAGUUUAUUCAAAUACUGACUUCACUCUUUAGCUAAUUCUGCCAAAAGACAAGAAAAACACAACUCAAGCUUGAAUCUAAACACCCCCUCCUAAAAAGAAAUAUAGUCCAAAUUAACUUCGGACUCUUGUUACAGAGAUCUGGUUUGCCUUUGUUUGAUUUCAAAAGAAAAGACCAAAAACCAUUGAGUAAAGAGAAUAUCUCUCUCUCUUAUUAUCUUGGCCUUACUCGUCCCCCCCCUUUUUUUUUUAUCUUGCUGAAAGUCGGUCAGCCAUAUAUUUUUCAAUAAUGGGCCACACCUCUCUCCCUCACACACACACAGGACACAUCGGUACCACACGCACGAUGGUAAAUGGUAAAAAAAGAGAGGUGUAUCUAUAUAUACACACGAGAGAAAGAGAGAGUAUAUGAGCUACUUUGUAUAAUAAGAAUGUGUAGGAUUGCGUCUCUCUUUGUAGCCUUUAGAGCUCAAACUCGAAUUAUCAGCAGGAAAAGAAAAGGUAACUGCAAGAGUAAAAGAAUGAUUGGGGAUAAAAUAGUAGAAACAAGGAAGAGUAGCAUUAACUAAAAGCAAGGUGAUGCAUGGGUGCAUGAAAAGUAAAAUAAAAAGGUAAUUGAUGGGAUUGUUUGUUUUACUUAAGGAUGAUAUGAUAUUGAUGAUCUGAUGAAAAGGAAAGAUUGAAAAGUUGUUUGCCUUUACAGUCCAUGAACAAGUAUAGAAAUGAUUAUACUAUAAUUAAAGUUUAAGACCCCAGUUUAGCAUACAGUGGCUAGAUAGCAGAGAGUCAGAGAUAGUGCAGUAUAUGUUUGGUGAAAGAGAAAGAGAGAAGGUUAGUUACGUUUCCCUAGGCAUUGCCAUUGAUAGGACCGUCCGUGAUACACUGUCUCACUGCAGGAGUGUGACUGUGGGGGCCAAAGCUCCUGUGAUUCUGAUAUCGUCGUCGUCAUCAUCGUCAUCUUCUUCUUCUUCAAUUAAUCAUCCCAAGAAGUUUGAGUGCAUGUGGGUACAAUAUAAAUGCUUACUUCACUGUUUUAACUGAGGUUGAUGCUGAUACCAUUCCACCAGCCUGUUAAUUAAUUAAUUUGUUACUUUAUACAUCGAGAUUGCUGGAUAUGUUGAAUGUUCUCUUGCACCUCGGUAAAAUUAUUUGUUUGUAAAAUGAUUUGAUAUGUAAUUAAGGCGGUUUAAUUUGAUAAAUGGGAGGAGUACUACUGUAUGUAGUCGAGGAAUCAAAAGUUAUUUUGCUCAUUAUUUGUCGCAUUUUAUUGAAAUGCUAGAACGUCCAGUGCUUCCCAUUUUAGUGGUCAAAAGAAGCAACUUACUUUUUAAGAUGAUAAUACAUUUGCCCAAGAUUGAAAAGCUUUUCUCCAUCCUAUUAUAAAUAAAGCUGCAUUUUCCCUUCUUUCUAAAAAACAAAAGACAAAAAUUUUAAUCUUUAUUAAAUGAGAAUUUAUUUGUUUUCAUGCGUAAAAGAUAUCCCUUAAGUACAUAUUUAAACGUCAAUCUCCAUUUUUCUAACGAAAGAGAUGCCAUUUCCUCUCUUCUUACUUUUUAGGAUAUGUUUGGUUGGAUAUAAUGAGUCCAUUAUAUUCUUAUAUUUAGUUGUGUAACUUUUAAAAAUUUAAUAUAAUGGACCAUUACAAUAUUACAGAAUAUGCUUGUAAUGUAAUGAGUUGUCACAAAAUAUAUAUAUAUAUAUAUAUAUAUAUAUAUAUAUAUAUAUAUAUAUAUAUAUAUAUAUAUAUAUAAAAGGUGUGCAAUGCAUCAUUACAGGAGUAUCACUACCAGAAAAUUGACAAAUAAUAACAAAAACUCUGAUGGAUAAUAUUUUGUGGCUACUUUCCGACAGAAAUAGCGACAAAGAAAUUCUAUUGAAAAUUUCUGAUGUAAAUAACAACAAAAUACGUUCUGUAGAUAAUUUAUGAUAAAAUUACAGAUGGAAUAAAUAAAUAAUUCAUCGACAAUUCCAUCGGAAUGUUGACAAGUCAUUAUUUAUCAAUGGAAUUGCUGAAAAAAUAAUUCUAUUGACAAAUGUAAAUAAGUUAUAACUGACAGUUACAUCCCUUCUAGGUAGUCUAGGUUUUUGCUUGUACGUUGGUCUGAUUUCUUCUUUGUAUCUUAUAUCUUGUAUUCCCCUGUUAUUGUUUUGUUCUUGUUUAGUUGGCGUUUGCUUCAUUGCAAGAGGUCUUGUGUUUGUGGUUCUUUUUCGGCUAAGUGCCCUUAUAAUUUUGGGGUGCAGUUUUUGGAUGGUCUUUUUUCUUUUGAUAGAGGUGUUAUUGUUCCUGUUUUUCUCACGUUGCUGGUUUUUCCUUGUUUGCUCGCUGCUUCCUUGGGUGUAGUCCCUCUCUUGCGGCUUCUCUGUUUCUCUUUUGGUUUUUGAUGCUCUUGCAGUUCUUGCAGCUCUGGGGCUUUAGGCUUCAGGCUUCAGGUUGCUUUUUUUCUUCAUCUACUCUUGUUAGGCUUUUGGAUCUUGUUUUUACUUUUCCUAGUUCUUUCGCUAUGGCUAUAACCUAUGUAGUUAAAGCCUUUGUUUAGGUCCCGAUUCAUUUAUAAACUCUUGAUUUUUUUUUUAAAUCCCUCUUACUCUUUUUUUUUCUACCUCCUACAAGAAAAAUACGAGUAGCCCCCUAUUUUCUCACUAAUUCAGCUACCCCAAACCCCCAACGUAGAUAUGCAUCUAUCAGUAGUGUCAACAACCAUCAUUGUAUUUUUUUUGUGAAGCUUUGAUACACAAAGUAAGCAAACUCACCUAUUUUUUUAUAAUUCAUUUAAGUUUUAGGUUGAUUUAUUGAAUGUUUUAGUAGUAUUUGUACUUUGCUUGUAUAUUUAAGUGUUUUAUAGCUUUUUUCUAGAUAAUUUUUUUGUAUUAAUGUAUGAUUUGUAUGUUAAGGUUUGUUUAGGAUUUAAGGGAAAUUGAAUUUUGUUGUCAUUUGAUGAAAUUGAGUUUGAUUUUGUAACUUAUAUAAGUUAUAAUUAAAGAAAUAAUGAGUUAUUUUAAUGGAUAACAAUCACAUUUUGUCAAUUUGAUUAUUAAGUUGAAGAUUUAGGGGAAAUUGAUUUUUUAUGGAAUUGAUAAAAUCAAUAUUAUUCUUUUAUGUUUCAUAAGUAAUGAAUGAUCGCUCUUGGAUGUAUCGAGAUUUACCCGAAAGGUUCUAUAGACAAGAUUAUCUUCAAGAGGUUGAGAGUUUUACUAAUUUUGUACUUUCUAAAUUGAAGAAUAUUAGUGCAGGCAAAAUUAAUAUCCAUGCAUGAAGAGUAAAAAUAAAAAGUUUAACCAUAAAGAUGUUAUUAUCAUGCAUCUACUUAAAAAAAAGAUUCAUCAAGAAAUACUUAUAUAGGUUUGCAUAAGGAAAACCCUAUGUUCCUUAUGAAACCAUGUUAGAAAAGAUGGUUGGCUCAACGUCUAAUUUUCACAACAUAUAUAGGUUUGUGGAUAAUAAUAUUAAUCAUUAUUGGAGUAUGGUGAUGAAUGUAUUGGAGUAUGGUGAUGAAUGUAAUGGAAAUGGAUUAUGAUUAUUCAAGUGAAGGUUCAUGUAACAUCUUUUUAAAUGAAGAAUCAAAUGUAGAUGCAUCUAGAUUUUUUAAACUUUUAAAAGAUUUUGAUAGGAUGGUGUAUAACUCAAAAUAAAUUAUUGACCAUUGCACGAGUGUUUAACAUCAAGUUAGAUUAUGGGUUGAGUGAAGCCAAUUAUAAUAACACCAUUGAUUAGGCUAAAAACAUGUUACCUUAAAGGAAUAAGUUGAAAAAGAACUUCUAUAUUGAAAAAUCCAUGAUGAAACCUCUUGGUCUAGGGUAUCAAAAAAUUGAUACGUGUCCAAGAUUUUUCAUGUUGUAAUACAAUGAAUGUACAAAACUUGUCAGCGUGCUCAGUAUAAACUCAAUAAAGGUAGAGGAAUGACAUUUGUCACAUAAAAAACUGAAAUACUUCUCAAUCACUCCUAGAUUAUAACAUUUAUUUAUGUCUUUAAAGUCUGCUAAGAACAUAGCAUGACAUCAUUCAAAUGAUAUAGUGGAUGAAGUCAUGAUGCUCUAUUUUGAUAGUGAAGCUUGAAAUUUAAUAAUGUGUAUUCUUAAUCUUCAAUGGAACUACGAAAUGUACAUCUUGGCUUGUGUACAUAUAGAUUAAUCAAUUUGGAUCCUUUAUUGCACCUUAUUCAUAUUGGUCGGUCAUACUAACAAUUUAUAACUUGCCUUUUAGGGAUGUGUAUAAAGUUAAAAUUCAUGUUAUUAUCUAUGGUAUAUCUGCUCCUUACAUUUCAUGUAGGAAUAUAGAUGUUUGUCUUUGAUCGUUGAUUGAUGAGUUGAAUUAGUUAUGGUUAGUCGAGGCUUUGACAUAUGAUGCCUCAAGAAAAAAAAAAUUUAAGAUGAAAACAACAUUGAUAUGGAAUAUAAGUCAUUUUCCUGUGUAUGUGAUGAUUUCAGAUUGGAGCAUAUAUGAAAAGUUUAUUUGUCUAUACUGUAUAAAAAAUAAUAAGGCCUUUACCUUAAUAAAUGAUGAUAAAGCUUCAUUUUUUGGUUGCUAUCGGAGGUUCUUACUAAGUCAUUAUCGAUAUAGAAACAAUAAAAAUGACUUCCUAGAAUGUAAAUUUGAAAGGGAUGUUACACCAUUAAUACUGUUGGGUGAAGAAUUAUAUGACAUGGUUUCACAUUAUGAAGACAUUGUAUUUGAUUUCCAUUCUGGUAAAUAAAAGUUUUCUAGUUUUGGUGUAACUUAUAAUUGGGUAAAGCGUAGUAUAUUUUAGGAUCUUUCUUAUUGCAAGAUUUAUGCCAUCCAUAAAAAUUUAGAUAUCAUGUAUAUCAAGAAGAAUAUGUUUGAUAAUAUUUUUAACACGGUUAUGGACGUAAAAUGAAAAAUAAAAUACAAUAUAAAAGCAAUAAUAGAUCUAGCUUUAUAUUAUGAUUGUCAAAAUAUAGAGUUGCUUAAUGAUGACUUAUGUGUUGUAAAGCUCAAAGCCACAUUUUCCUUUGACAAUGAUGCAUAGUUUCUUAUCUACGAAUGAAUUAAGAGACUAUGAUUUUCUAAUGGAUAUGCUUCAAACAUAGUUAGAUUGGUAAGUUUAGGAGAAUGUAUAAUGUAUAGAAUGAAGAGUCAUGAUUGUCAUGUGUUUAUGUAAACACUCAUUCCAAUUAUUGAUAAGGAUUUAUUACCAAAAAAGGUAUAGGAUAUACUAAUAGAGAUUAGUCACCUUUUUAUAGAUAUUUAUUCGAGCAAGUUACAUACCUACCACAUGGAGCAAUUUGAAACAAAUAUUAUUAAUACAAUCUGCAAAUUUAAAAUGAGUUUUUUUCCCUUCUUUAACUCAAUAAAGCAUUUGCCUAUACAUUUAUCGUAUAAGGCAAAAUUUAGACGGCCUAUAUAAUACAGAUGGAUGUAUCAAUUUAAAAGGUUAGGGAUUGCAUGCAUUAUAAGUAAUUGUCCAUUGUCUUUUUGUAAACAUUCAGUUAUCUCUAAUUACUUACAUGUAAAUACUUAUUCAACCUUAAAAAAAACAAAAAAAAAUGCAUGUGUUAAGUCUACAACAUGUAAGACUUAUAUUGUUAAAUUUUUUUAAACAUUUACCUCAUUUUAUUUUGAGCCUUAUUUGAGAACAAGAACCAACUGUAUUUUAUAACAUGAUAAUGGUGGUGAACCACCUUCAAGGAAAAAUUUGUCAAUAUUUUGCCAUCCUAAACAACCAUUAUCAAAUAAAGUAGUAAAGAGAAGAAAUUUAAUAGACAUUGAAUUCAAACAAGUACAUAAUUAUAUGUUAUUCAACUGUAAUGAAUUGAAACCUUUUAUUUGAUAAGUCAAUUUUUACAAUUAUAUAGUUUUAAACCUUUUUUGCUUAUAACUCAUAUAGAUUCAAUCCUGUAACUUUCUUAUAGGUAACAUCAUCAAUUAUUGUUAUCCUAAAAUUCAAAUGCUAUUAAAGCUUAAAAUUUUCAAUUACAAGAUGAACAAUUUGUAAAUAUUUAAGUAUUCAAUAAUUUAUAAAUACUAAUAAUAGAUUUAAUUGUAUUUUUCUUGGAUUGUUAAUGCUUGUUAAUUAACUUUAACUAUGUUUUUAACAUGAGAGGCAACACUGAUAGAUUGAGAUUCCUAUCUUUGGGUCUUGAAAAAAAAGUUCAGUGUUAUAAUGAAUUUUUCAUUAAUGAAUAUGUAUUUCAUACUGAAAAGUAUGGUGAUGAAAAAAAGACAUACAAUAGUGAGGUUUGUGUAAAUGUUCAACUUCCAAUGAGUUGAAAGUUAAUUAUUAUGCCAAGUUACUAAAGGUUAUUGAAUUGCGAUAUCACAGUGAACAAUAUAUAUUGGUUUUAUUCAAAUAUUAUUGGUAUGAUAUCAAUAGAUAAAUUAGAGUAGAUCCUCACUAUGGUAUGAUCAAAAUAAAUAAAAGAGGUCCACUUUGCAAUAUCAAUGAUGUUUUUGUUUUUAUCAAACAAUGUCAAUAAGUGUAUUAUACAUACAUUCUUUUCUUUAAAAAAGAUCACAAUAAAGUCGAUUGGUUAUCUGUUGUGAAAACCAAACCGAUAAGUCAUGUCUAAGUUGAAGUUGUUGAACAUGGUAACAAUGAAGUAAAUGAAGGGAGACAAUGUAUUUCAAAUGGAUGAGCUAAUUGAUUCAUAUCGAGUUGUUUCAUCUACUAAGUUAAAUAAUCCAAAUUUUCAUGUCACUGAAAAUAUUUAUGUUGAUGUUAAUGAGUUAAAUAUAAUGUUGAGUACUAGUGGACAUAGAAAAGAAGGUGAAGAUUAUGAGAUUGACCAACUUGAAUUCAACGAAGAUGAUGAUGAAAAUUACAAGAAGGAUUAUGAUUAAAAAGUGUUGCAUUGAUUUAAAUGUAAAACAAUCAUUAUAUAAUAAAAUUAACAUUGAAUAACACAUUUGUUGCAACUUUCUAAUGCAUUAUAUUUUUUACAUUUUUAAAGUGUAUUUUUUUUAUUUUGUAGUUGUGGUUUAAUGUUGGCAAAUAUUUACAUUUCAUCAAAUAUUGCCGAUGACAUUGACGAUGGACAUGCAAUUUAAUUGGAGAAUUACAACAGGUUUAGUGUAAUGGUGAUGGAAUUGUCGACAAACAUGGAAUUUCAUCAAAACAAUUAUAGUAAGUUUAUGAAAUGGUGAUGAAAUUGUUGAUGGACAUGCAAUUUCAUCAGGAAAUUACAAUAGGUUAGAGAAACGGUGAUGGAAUUGUUGAUGGAAUUAAAAAUAUUAAAAAAAUAAUUGAAUUUUUGUUGGUAAUUUUAUCGGUAUUUGUUGACAUGUCAAUAUGCUGAUGGAAUUUUCAUUAGCAAAUCCAGGUAUUAACCUAACAAUUCCCCUUUUUCUCCCUAUUUUAUCUCAGCUACUCAAAAUAAACAAAAUGUCACUGCCCUUCUCUCUCCCUGCCACCCCCAGCGUCUUCUUCUUCUUCUUCUCUCUCUCUCUCUCUGCUAGCCAGCUUUCACCACCACCCAACCCCUUUUUCUCGUAGUCGCCUAGCCCAUCUCUCUCUCAAAAUCUUCAAGGGUAAGUUUCUUAAUCCCUACAAAGUCAUUUCUUGUUUUAUCUUUUUAUGAUGGUUUGUGUUUAGGGUGUUUAGUUUCAGAGUGGGUUUGGUGUUUUGGGUUCUUAUUUUUAGUGUUGUGGUAUUUGUUUUGUGUGUUAAUAGAAUAGAAAAUUUUGAUUAUUGAUUGGGUUAUCAAUUUUGAUUGUUGAUUAUUUUAUUUGAUAAGAGAUUUAUGUUGUUAGUGGUUGCUGAUUUUAGAAAUGAAGGGUUGUUAAUGGUUGUAAAUUGAUUUUUUAUAAGGGAUUUGUGCUAUUAAUGUUUGUAUGUAUGUACAUUAAAUCGCUCCUAGCAUAUAAAAAUUACACCCAUAUUUCUCUUUAUGGAAACCCUAUGUUUUAUAUGUUUAUUAGUUGUUGUCUUGUAUUUUGCAUAAUUAGUAUUUUCAAACUUUUUCUAAGCUUGAGCUUGUAUUGUUUGAACUUGUUCGGUCCUAUUCUUUACAAUAUUAUUGAACCUGAAAUUAACUUGUGUUAUAUUUCAGAGAUGUUAAGAAAGAAGUUUAAAUAGAGCUAUUGUUACUUCCAGUUCAACCAACAGUAGUGUUGGUGAUGUCGGUGAUCAUGUUUUUAAUUUAGGUGUCAAACAUGAAGAGACAUCUAAUGCACAUGAUACCAAUCAAGGCUUGUUCACUUCAGGUAGCAAAGGUGGAAUCCCAUUUUCAAGAGAUCCAUAUCCUGAUAAAAUUAUUGCAAAAUAGAAGAUCGACCACUCAAUAUAAGUUAUGUAUUGAGGUUAUUUAUUUUGAUUGGGUUAUUUUAAGAUUUACAUUAAAUAAAAAUGAUUGACUUUAUAUGAAUUUGUUUUGCAGGUUUACAUAAAUUGAAGUUGAAUGUUAUACCACAAGUGUAAUGAAAUCAUUGUUCAAGGAACCACAUUUUCAAUG
rnacentral:lncRNA from 1 species